rnacentral:rRNA from 1 species
AUUAGAUACCCUAGUAGUCCACGCCGUAAACGAUGAGAGCUAGUUGUCUGGCAGCAUGCUGUCAGGUGACGCAGCUAACGCAUUAAGCUCUCCGCCUGGGGAGUACGGCCGCAAGGUUAAAACUCAAAGAAAUUGACGGGGGCCCGCACAAGCGGCGGAGCAUGUGGAUUAAUUCGAUGCAACGCGAAGAACCUUACCUGGGCUUGACAUACACCAGAUCGCUGCAGAGAUGUAGUUUCCCUUUGUGGCUGGUGUACAGGUGGUGCAUGGUUGUCGUCAGCUCGUGUCGUGAGAUGUUGGGUUAAGUCCCGCAACGAGCGCAACCCCUAUUGUUAGUUGCCAUCAUUCAGUUGGGCACUCUAGCGAGACUGCCGGUAAUAAACCGGAGGAAGGUGGGGAUGACGUCAAAUCAUCAUGCCCCUUAUGAUUUGGGCUACACACGUGCUACAAUGGCAGUGACAAUGAGUUAAUCUCUAAAAGCUGUCUCAGUUCGAAUUGGGGUCUGCAACUCGACCCCACGAAGUCGGAAUCGCU